UGACGAGUCCAGCUGGGGUGAG
rnacentral:misc_RNA from 1 species